rnacentral:rRNA from 1 species
CUAAUGCCGGAUACGUCCGAGGUUUUAAUCGACCUUGGAGAAAGAUUUAUCGCCGGAGGAUUGGCCCGCGUCUGAUUAGCUUGUUGGUGAGGUAAUGGCUCACCAAGGCGACGAUCAGUAGCUGGUCUGAGAGGAUGAUCAGCCACAUUGGGACUGAGACACGGCCCAAACUCCUACGGGAGGCAGCAGUGGGGAAUAUUGGACAAUGGGCGAAAGCCUGAUCCAGCCAUGCCGCGUGAGUGAUGAAGGCCUUAGGGUUGUAAAGCUCUUUUACCCGGGAAGAUAGUGACGGUACCGGGAGAAUAAGCCCCGGCUAACUUCGUGCCAGCAGCCGCGGUAAUACGAAGGGGGCUAGCGUUGUUCGGAAUUACUGGGCGUAAAGCGCACGUAGGCGGAUCUUUAAGUCAGGGGUGAAAUCCCGAGGCUCAACCUCGGAACUGCCUUUGAUACUGGGGAUAUCGAGUCCGGGAGAGGUGAGUGGAACUGCGAGUGUAGAGGUGAAAUUCGUAGAUAUUCGCAAGAACACCAGUGGCGAAGGCGGCUCACUGGCCCGGUACUGACGCUGAGGUGCGAAAGCGUGGGGAGCGAACAGGAUUAGAUACCCUGGUAGUCCACGCCGUAAACGAUGGAUGCUAGCCGUUAGACAGCUUGCUGUUUAGUGGCGCAGUUAACGCGUUAAGCAUCCCGCCUGGGGAGUACGGUCGCAAGAUUAAACUCAAAGGAAUUGACGGGGGCCCGCACAAGCGGUGGAGCAUGUGGUUUAAUUCGAAGCAACGCGAAGAACCUUACCAGCUCUUGACAUGUCUCGUAUGGGGA